rnacentral:rRNA from 1 species
GACGAACGCUGGCGGCGUGCUUAACACAUGCAAGUCGAGCGGAGCGGCGAACGGGUGAGUAACGCGUGAGUAACUGCCCCCCUCUCUGGGAUAACAGUUGGAAACGGCUGCUAAUACCGGUUAGUGGGGGAUGACUCGCGUCCUAUCAGCUUGUUGGUGGGGUAGUGGCCGACGCAGGCGACGACGGGUAGCCGGCCUGCGAGGGCGACCGGCCACAUUGGGCUGGGGUACGGCCCCAACUACUGCGGGAGGCAGCAGUGGAGAAUAUUGCACAAUGGGGGAAACUCGGAUGCAGCCACGCGCGUGCGGGAUGACGGGUGUCGGGUUGUAAACCGCUGUCAGCCAUAACGCGGUAGUUGCAGAAGAAGCACCGGGUAACUACGUGCCAGCCGCCGCGGUAAUUC